GCAAGUCGAACGAGAAGCUGGACUUCGGUCAGUGGAAAGUGGCGGACGGGUGAGUAAUAUGUAGGAAAUCUGCCCUAGAGAGGGGGACAACAGAGGGAACUUCUGCUAAUACCCCAUAUGAGCUUAGUUGAAAUACUAAUCUUGAAAACUCCGGUGCUCUAGGAUGAGCCUGCAUCUGAUUAGCUAGUUGGCGGUGUAAUGGACCACCAAGGCGACGAUCAGUAGCUGGUUUGAGAGGAUGAUCAGCCACAAUGGGACUGAGACACGGCCCAUACUCCUACGGGAGGCAGCAGUAGGGAAUUUUGCGCAAUGGGCGAAAGCCCUGACGCAGCAACGCCGCGUGAACGAUUAAGCCCUUCGGGGUGUAAAGUUCUGUCAGUGGGGACGAAACUUGACGGUACCCACAGAGGAAGCACCGGCUAACUCCGUGCCAGCAGCGGC
rnacentral:rRNA from 1 species